UACGUAGGGACCGAGCGUUGUCCGGAUUCAUUGGGCGUAAAGAGCUCGUAGGCGGCCACUCAAGUCGAAUGUGAAACCUCGAGGCUUAACCUCGAGCCUGCAUUCGAUACUGGGCGGCUAGAGUCUGGUAGGGGGAUCUGGAAUUCCUGGUGUAGCGGUGGGAAUGCGCAGAUAUCAGGAGGAACACCGGUGGCGAAGGCGGGAUCCUGGGCCAGUACUGACGCUGAGGAGCGAAAGCGUGGGGAGCAAACA
rnacentral:rRNA from 1 species